GUGGGGAAUAUUGGACAAUGGGGGGAACCCUGAUCCAGCCAUGCCGCGUGUGUGAAGAAGGCCUUUUGGUUGUAAAGCACUUUAAGCGAGGAGGAGGCUACCGAGAUUAAUACUCUUGGAUAGUGGACGUUACUCGCAGAAUAAGCACCGGCUAACUCGGUGCCAGCAGCCGCGGUAAUACAGAGGGUGCAAGCGUUAAUCGGAUUUACUGGGCGUAAAGCGCGCGUAGGUGGCCAAUUAAGUCAAAUGUGAAAUCCCCGAGCUUAACUUGGGAAUUGGAUUCGAUACUUGUUGGCUAGAGUAUGGGAGAGAAUGGUAGAAUUCAAGGUGUAGCGGUGAAAUGCGUAGAGAUCUGGAGGAAUACCGAUGGCGAAGGCAGCCAUCUGGCCUAAUACUGACACUGAUGUGCGAAAGCAUGGGGAGCAAACAGGAUUAGAAACCCUGGUAGUCC
rnacentral:rRNA from 1 species